rnacentral:ncRNA from 1 species
AGGAGUAACUAUGGCUCUCUUAAGAUAGCCAAAUGCCUUGUUACCUAAUUAGUGAC